rnacentral:lncRNA from 1 species
GGCGGUAAGCUCAUAAGGAGACGUAUCGGUGGCGAGCCACUGCUCGAUCUCGAAGUUCUGCGUGGAGCACUGCGCGUGAACUCCAGCCGUCGAAACCUCGACGUAAUUAACGUACCAGCCGUGGUGAUCGCCGGAGCCGUCGGAGGUUAGGUUCAGAGAGCAGAUCGGACUAGGCAAACACGGCGCUCUUCCACUGAAAAUGUCGAGGUUGCUUCUCUCGAAGUAGUUGUAGUCAGGGCCCAUUAGUCCACCCCAAGCCUCUAGGUUCUUGAUCCCGAUGUAGUCACCGUACUUGUCGUAGAUUCUAGCGCUGAUGAUCGAGUCGGUUCCGGCUUUCCAGAUUGACCCGGUUCGGAGGUAGAAUGUGUAGACGCAGUCCGGUUCAUCGUCCUGUGGAAAUAAUCGGAAGAACCUUCAUACAUUGAGAGCUCUGGAGAUGAGGAUGAAGAUUAUGAACCUUCCGACUCUGGUUAUCUCACUGUCUGAUAGUUGCGCAAUCGAUUCAUUGUCUUCCUUUUCAGGGUGGGCUCAAGCAAAUUGGCUUCGUUACGUUCUAUGGUUCUUUAUGGGCUUAUACUGUAAAAACAAUAUUGGGCUCUCUCCCUACAUUUCAAGUUUGUUGCAAAGUAUUUUCAGAAAAAUAAACAUGAAAAGGGACCAUCUGACCGACUGCCGACUGACCCCAUAUAUAGGUACUAAAUUUAUUUUGGUCAGCAAAUGUAAGAGACAGUUCAGUAAUUUAUGAACAUGAACGUGGCAUCAUUUCCCCAACGGAUUACUGAUGCAUACAAUUAAAUUUAAUGUUAUCGUGUUCAUUUCUUAAGAUUACAUAAAUACUAUCCACAUUGAUCGGUUCGACUCAAGACCGAGUCGGAGACGAAUCAAAUAAUGAUAUGACUCCAUUAACGAGCGAAUUAUCCUAUAAAUCACUCACUAAUUACGGAUUAAAGGAUGGAAAAUAGCUAGAAAGAUUUAUUUAUCAAAUCAUAUCAUUAAAGGCCACAUUACACUCAUAAGACGACAGCAAACAAACAAUACGAAAGACGACCUUAUGAAUCACACACAUUCUCAUCACUCAGAUGACCCAAGAAAGCUGUUUCCGGAUCUCCGACCCGACCCGACUAACCCCAUCCCUAAGCGACACGGGACAAUUGUUCCUCACGGCGGUAAGCUCAUAAGGAGACGUAUCGGUGGCGAGCCACUGCUCGAUCUCGAAGUUCUGCGUGGAGCACUGCGCGUGAACUCCAGCCGUCGAAACCUCGACGUAAUUAACGUACCAGCCGUGGUGAUCGCCGGAGCCGUCGGAGGUUAGGUUCAGAGAGCAGAUCGGACUAGGCAAACACGGCGCUCUUCCACUGAAAAUGUCGAGGUUGCUUCUCUCGAAGUAGUUGUAGUCAGGGCCCAUUAGUCCACCCCAAGCCUCUAGGUUCUUGAUCCCGAUGUAGUCACCGUACUUGUCGUAGAUUCUAGCGCUGAUGAUCGAGUCGGUUCCGGCUUUCCAGAUUGACCCGGUUCGGAGGUAGAAUGUGUAGACGCAGUCCGGUUCAUCGUCCUGUGGAAAUAAUCGGAAGAGAAAUUAGAAAAAGAAUAAAUAUAUGAAAACCUGGUAAAUAGAGAUCGAGGAAGUUACGGCGAAGGCGACGGCGGAGA